UUUGGAGCCUUAAAUGUUGACGUGCCUCUUCAAAUAAGUAAUAAAAUCUUAUUUGAAGAGUUUUUUUGUGGUGCUCUAAGUCUAACUAUCUAUACAAGUAAAAUUUAUCUAAAAUCUAAAUGGACGACUGAAACGUGUUCGACAAGUAGCCUCACCCUCUCCACCAUUUUUUCUCCGACUUGACGAGCAUGUGAACAAUUGUUUGAGCUCUAUAUAAAGGAGGGAAAGUCUUUGUAUUGCAUGUCAUUUAUAUGCUCCUUCAAUAAAAUCUUGCUAUAUAGACGUUCAUGUUAACCAAAAAAAAAAAAAAAUGAUUUUAAUUCCCCCCAAAAAAAAGAACUAUUUUAAGCCUCGAUGAUGGACUUUAUGUCUAAUUAUAUAAUUUAUUUGUGACUAAAAGUUAGUAAAUCUCUCUACUAAACAACUUCUGUUACAUAGAUUUAGAUUUAGUGUUGAGUUGAAUUAGAAAUGUUCUAAUAGCUAUUACAGUGUAUGGUUUAAUAAUGUAAUAAUUGUGAAAGUUAUUAAAUUAUAUGGUUUAAUAGUACAAUAAUAUCAUAUCAUUGAUUUAUUUCUAAACUUUAUUAAGGUUUAGGAUUUUGGAUCUGAGU
rnacentral:lncRNA from 1 species